rnacentral:rRNA from 1 species
GACGAAGGAUGCAAGCGUUAUCCGGAUUCAUUGGGUUUAAAGGGCGCGUAGGCGGCCUUGUAAGUCAGUGGUGAAAUCUCUCGGCUUAACUGAGAAACUGCCAUUGAUACUGCAGGGCUUGAGUACAGUUGCCGUUGGCGGAAUAUGACAUGUAGUGGUGAAAUACAUAGAGAUGUCAUAGAACACCGAUUGCGAAGGCAGCUGACGAAACUGUAACUGACGCUGAGGCUCGAAAGUGUGGGGAUCAAACAGG